CCCACAUUGCUAUUGGUGCGGCCGGGGCAGCUCGCAGUCCCGGCCGAAACCCCGGGAAGGGAGACUGCGCCCCGCAGAUCUCGCGAGGCUCGAAGCGGCGCGCCGGGAUCCCGCAGCCGGCAGCCCCGCGAGCCCCGGCGGGAGGGGCACGAUGGCGGCCCAGGCGCUGGAGCUGCUGAGGGAGGUAUCGCGACUGGAAGCGCCGCUGGAGGAGCUGCGCGCGCUUCAUUCGGUGCUGCAGACCCUGCCGCUCAGCGAGCUCCGCGAGCAAGCGGCGGAAAUGCGCCUCGGCCCGCUUUUCUCCCUGCUCAACGAGAACCACCGGACACAAACUAAUGAGAUCUAUGACGUCUCCUUUAGGGAACAGACCACUUUGUGUGUAUCAAUUCUGGAGAGAUUGCUCCAAGCUGUGGAGCCAGUUCAUGUGGCCCGGAACCUCGGGGCUGACCUUCAGAGGGGACUGACUCACCCCGAUGAUUCCGUAAAAAUUCUCACUCUGUCCCAGGUCGGAAGAAUUGUUGAAAAUUCUGAUGCUGUUACUGAGAUUCUAAAUAAUGCUGAAUUACUAAAACAGAUCAUUUAUUGUAUUGGUGGAGACAAUCUGUCUGUAGCUAAAGCGGCCAUUAAGUCCCUGUCAAGAAUAUCACUAACCCAAGCAGGACUGGAGGCUUUAUUUGAAAGCAAUCUGCUGGAUGAUUUGAAAAGGGUAAUGAAAACAAAUGACAUUGUUCGAUACAGGGUGUAUGAGUUAAUUGUGGAGAUUUCUUCUGUUUCACCAGAAUCUUUAACCUACUGUACCACCAGUGGGUUGGUAACCCAGCUCCUCAGAGAGCUGACUGGGGAGGAUGUGCUGGUCAGAGCCACCUGUAUAGAAAUGGUGACAUCACUGGCAUAUACUCAUCAUGGACGACAGUACCUUGCUCAAGAAGGAGUAAUUGAUCAGAUUUCUAAUAUAAUUGUUGGGGCAGAUUCAGACCCUUUCUCUAGUUUCUAUUUGCCAGGAUUUGUGAAGUUUUUUGGAAACCUGGCUAUCAUGGAUAGUCCUCAACAGAUCUGUGAGCGUUAUCCUAUCUUUGUGGAAAAAGUCUUUGAAAUGACUGAAAGUCAGGACCCCACCAUGAUUGGUGUAGCAGUGGACACAAUUGGAAUCCUGGGAUCGAAUGUUGAAGGAAAACAAGUUUUACAAAAAACAGGAACUCGCUUUGAGCGCUUGCUCAUGAAAAUAGGAUAUCAAGCAAAGAAUGCUUCGACGGAGCUCAAAAUUAGGUGUUUGGAUGCAAUUUCAUCUAUUUUUUAUAUAUCCCCUGAGCAGCAGACUGAUGACCUCCUGCGGAUGACAGAAUCCUGGUUUUCUUCUUUAUCCCGGGAUCCACUGGAGCUCUUCCGUGGCAUAAGUAAUCAACCCUUCCCUGAACUGCACUGCGCUGCCUUAAAAGUGUUCACGAUCCACCAAUUCAGAGAGAGAGACACUGACUCCUAAUAACCAGAGUCAGAUGGCAGGACACUGUAUAUAAACCAGGAUGCCAUCACAUUGAUUAACAAAGGAUGCACUUUCUUUUCAUUGACAAAAAAAAUGUUCCCACCUGUUUCCAUUGCCCUGCUUUCUAACCGGAAAAGCGCUCUGCACACCACUCACCAGUCAGACGUUUCGGCAUGAGUGUGCUAUCAGAGUGUGAUUCAGAAGAAUCCAGAGGAAUAAAAUACUGCUAUUUCCCUGUUUACACCUGAGGCCAAGGCACAGCACAAUGAAGGACCUUGCACAAGAUCACAUAGCAAAAAACCUUGAACUGUGGAUGGGUAUAAGGCCAAUGGACUUGGCACAAAUCCCUACAAACACAUCAGCAGGAACCAUAAUGGGUACUUCUUUGAAAACCACAAACAUCAUCCGAGCCACAUCUUGGGACAUAAUAAAGGCCUCGCCACUGCAGUAAUCUGGGUAGUACUUUUCUGGGUACUCGCUAAAAGGGACAAAUUCUUGACUAUUGGGGUCUCUGUUGGGUGUAUCCUGAUGGAUAACUCUUCCUACAUAGGUAUCCUCAAGGUGUUCUUUCAGAUUGAGAAGAUAGUCUAUCAAGCUUGGUAGGUUGACAAACAUCUCUUCAUCAACCUUGAGAAUGAAUAGGGCAUUAGGGCAGAAAGUCACAGCCCACUGCAUCAUUGUGAUGAUCUUCAGGGUUUGGUUCUCAGUGCUGUCCAAGAAGAUUCCUUCAAUUAUAUCAGUAUUUUUAUGGGACUCUUUGUCUAUCUCUUGCUGAGUAGUUACCAAAACAGGCAUUCCCAAAGCAAACAGUGUGAGAACGUGGUGCCCUUGGACACUGGUCACGUUACCCCAGGUUUUCCUGAUGAGGUCUCUCCUUGUUCCAUUUCCUGGGCUACUGAAGAUAAGAGAGAGUAAAAAUAUGUUCUUCCCUUGACACACCUCUGA